rnacentral:rRNA from 1 species
UGGGGAAUAUUGGACAAUGGGCGAAAGCCUGAUCCAGCCAUGCCGCGUGUGUGAAGAAGGUCUUCGGCUUGUAAAGCACUUUAAGUUGGGAGGAAGGGCAGUAAGCGAAUACCUUGCUGUUUUGACGUUACCGACAGAAUAAGCACCGGCUAACUCUGUGCCAGCAGCCGCGGUAAUACAGAGGGUGCAAGCGUUAAUCGGAAUUACUGGGCGUAAAGCGCGCGUAGGUGGUUCGUUAAGUUGAAUGUGAAAGCCCCGGGCUCAACCUGGGAACUGCAUCCAAAACUGGCGAGCGAGAGUAGGGCAGAGGGUGGUGGAAUUUCCUGUGUAGCGGUGAAAUGCGUAGAUAUAGGAAGGAACACCAGUGGCGAAGGCGACCACCUGGGCUCAUACUGACACUGAGGUGCGAAAGCGUGGGGAGCAAACAGG